GUGUAGCGGUAAAAUGCGUAAAUAUAUGGAGGAACACCAGAGGCGUAGGCGGCUUGCUGGGUCUUUACUGACGCUGAGGCACGAAAGCGUGGGGAGCAAACAGGAUUAGAUACCCUGGUAGUCCACGCCGUAAACGAUGAGUACUAAGUGUCGGGAUUACUCGGUACUGAAGUUAACACAUUAAGUACUCCGCCUGAGUAGUACGUACGCAAGUAUGAAACUUAAAGGAAUUGACGGGACUCCGCACAAGCGGUGGAUCAUGUUGUUUAAUUCGAAGAUACACGAAAAACCUUACCAGGUCUUGACAUACUCUGCAAAGCUAUAGCAAUAUAGUGGAGGUUAUCAGGGAUACAGGUGGUGCAUGGUUGUCGUCAGCUCGUGUCGUGAGAUGUUAGGUUAAGUCCUAAAACGAGCGCAACCCUUGUCAUUAGUUGCCAGCAUGUCAUGAUGGGCACUUUAAUGAGACUGCCAAUGAAAAAUUGGAGGAAGGUGAGGAUCACGUCAAAUCAUCAUGCCCCUUAUGAUCUGGGCUACAAACGUGAUACAAUGGCUGUUACAAAGAGUAGCUGAAACGCAAGUUUAUAGCCAAUCUCAUAAAAGCAGUCUCAGUUCGAGAUUGAAGUCUGCAACUCGACUUCAUGAAGUGGAAUCGCUAGUAAUCGCGAAUUCAGGCAAUGUUGG
rnacentral:rRNA from 1 species